rnacentral:rRNA from 1 species
AUUGAACGCUGGCGGCAUGCUUUACGCAUGCAAGUCGAACGGUAACAGGCCGCAAGGUGCUGACGAGUGGCGAACGGGUGAGUAAUGCAUCGGAACGUGCCCCGUCGUGGGGGAUAACUACUCGAAAGAGUAGCUAAUACCGCAUACGAUCUAUGGAUGAAAGCGGGGGACCGUAAGGCCUCGCGCGAUUGGAGCGGCCGAUGUCAGAUUAGGUAGUUGGUGGGGUAAAGGCUCACCAAGCCAACGAUCUGUAGCUGGUCUGAGAGGACGACCAGCCACACUGGGACUGAGACACGGCCCAGACUCCUACGGGAGGCAGCAGUGGGGAAUUUUGGACAAUGGGCGCAAGCCUGAUCCAGCAAUGCCGCGUGCAGGAAGAAGGCCUUCGGGUUGUAAACUGCUUUUGUACGGAACGAAACGGCUCUGGUUAAUACCCGGGGCUAAUGACGGUACCGUAAGAAUAAGCACCGGCUAACUACGUG